rnacentral:rRNA from 1 species
UACAGAGGGUGCAAGCGUUGUUCGGAAUUAUUGGGCGUAAAGCGCGUGUAGGCGGCUUUGCAAGUCGGGUGUGAAAUCCCUCAGCUCAACUGAGGAAGUGCGCCCGAAACUGCAGAGCUUGAGUACCGGAGAGGAUGGCGGAAUUCCCCAAGUAGAGGUGAAAUUCGUAGAUAUGGGGAGGAACACCGGUGGCGAAGGCGGCCAUCUGGACGGAUACUGACGCUGAGACGCGAAAGCGUGGGGAGCGAACAGG